UACGAGGGGGGCGAGCGUUGUUCGGAAUUAUUGGGCGUAAAGGGCGCGUAGGCGGUGCGGUAAGUCACCUGUGAAACCUCUGGGCUUAACUCAGAGCCUGCAGGCGAAACUGCCGUGCUGGAGUGUGGGAGAGGAGAGUGGAAUUCCCAGUGUAGGAAGGUGAAAUUCGUAGAUAUUGGGAAGAACACCGGUGGCGAAGGCGGCUCUCUGGACCGAGACUGACGCUGAGGCGCGAAAGCGUGGGGAGCAAACAGG
rnacentral:rRNA from 1 species